rnacentral:rRNA from 1 species
GACAGAGGGUGCAAACGUUGUUCGGAAUUACUGGGCGUAAAGCGCGUGUAGGCGGCCCUGCAAGUCGGGUGUGAAAUCCCAUGGCUCAACUAUGGAAGUGCAUUCGAAACUGCAGGGCUAGAGUCCUGGAGAGGAAGGUGGAAUGCUUGGUGUAGAGGUGAAAUUCGUAGAUAUCAAGCGGAACACCGGUGGCGAAGGCGGCCUUCUGGACGAGGACUGACGCUGAGACGCGAAAGCGUGGGGAGCAAACAGG